GAAUACUCUGAGAUCGCCACAAUAGCACUGUUGCUAUUUCCGACAUCCUACCUGUGUGGGGUGUGGUGUUUCUGGAGCAACGGCGACUAAAACAAAAUUACGAAGUGGACUGGACAUAAACCACACACUUGAGAUGUCGUUGUCUUCUAUUAUCCCGAGAUGGGACCGUCUAGUUGCAGAUAAUCAAGCUCGGGGCUGUGUGAUGAAGAACUGGUGCUGCAAAACACGCCGCGUAUACGGCAGGAGGAGGACACCCACCUGACAUUUGGAAUUUUCUUUUCACUGCACCUGUCCGAGGUUUGACCACCCGGAGAGGAACCCGGAAACAAAUGCCGGUGCGACGCCGGUCCUCGGGCUAACACGUAGAGGAUAUUCAGCAGAUCGCAAAGGUGUGUCCCUCCUGCUCAACAACCUGGAGUGAAGAAGUCAUGUAUGCCUUGUGAUGUUGGUGUCCUAUAAUAACUACGCAAGAGUUUGUACCUGUGCCUGUGCUGAUAAGAAUCAAUGAGUUUCUGUUCAUGUUGUCAUCAAGCAAUUUGCUAAACUUGAUCGUUUUUUUUCUGCUGACAGCUAAAUAAAACCGCUUUUUAAGACCAGACAUAAUAACUACAACAACGACACAAUAUAUUGUACCUGUAUAUUGUACCUGUGCCUGUGCUGAUGGCUAUCAAUGUAUUUCUGUUCAUAUUUUCAUUAAGCAAUUCGAUAAACUUGACUGUUUGUCUGUUGACAGCGAAAUAAAACCACUUUUUUUUUUAA